AAAUGAAUAGACGGGGGCCCGCACAAGCAGUGGAGUAUGUGGUUUAAUUCGAAGCAACGCGAAGAACCUUACCAGGGCUUGACAUCCCUUGACGAGUGUAGAGAUACACUUUCUCUUCGGAGCAAGGAGACAGGUGGUGCAUGGUUGUCGUCAGCUCGUGUCGUGAGAUGUUGGGUUAAGUCCCGCAACGAGCGCAACCCCUGUUGUUAGUUGCCAUCAUUAAGUUGGGCACUCUAACGAGACUGCCGGUGACAAAUCGGAGGAAGGUGGGGACGACGUCAAAUCAUCAUGCCCCUUAUGUCCUGGGCUACACACGUACUACAAUGGCUGUUACAGAGGGAAGCUAAUUCGCGAGGAGGAGCAAAUCCCCAAAGGCAGCCCCAGUUCGGAUUGCAGGCUGAAACUCGCCUGCAUGAAGUCGGAAUUGCUAGUAAUGGCAGGUCAGCAUACUGCCGUGAAUACGUUCCCGGGCCUUGUACACACCGCCCGU
rnacentral:rRNA from 1 species